UCCUCAUUCCUCUCCAGCUAUCUUUCCACGGCCACCACCCCCUCCCUCUACUGUCUCUUUCUCAUUAAUGGCCUCCUCCUUCUCGCCGCUCUCUCUCUCUCUCUCACUCUCACUAACUCUCUCUAAAACCGCCUGUCUCUCUCUGGAAUUGACGAAGAUGAAGUCUAUGCAGCCGCACCACAAUUUCUUACAGGAGACGAUGAAGCCAAGCCUCCCCAGUCGCCAAACCCCAGCUCCGGCAAGCCUCCAAGGAGAAUGCGCUUCUCACUGAGAAAUCCUCCCGUCAGUCUCUGAUCCCUAGCUUCCUCUACGCCUCCUCCUCCGCCAAAACUUUUUGGCUUAAGAAGAUGUUUCACGCCAGCCCUAGCGCCGGCUUCAACACGAAUGGAGAGGCAGUCUCGCAGACCAAGGGGUUGGUCAUUCCGUCUCCGAGCGAGCCGUCCAAGAAGAUCGAGAUGUACUCGCCGGCCUUUUAUGCUGCUUGUACUGCAGGAGGAAUCCACAGCUGUGUCUUACUCACAUGGCUGUACUUAUCUUGACCUCGUCAAGUGCAAUAUGCAGGGACACUCGUGCUUCAGCGUUGGAGCAAAGUUUGAGGAAACUAGCUGUGGAAAGUAAUUUUACACCAUUAUUACUACUUUGACUCAACGUGACCCCAAACAGUGAAUUCACUGGAGUUAGUAGGAACAAGUAAACUUAGUAAGAAAACGUAUUUGUUGAGGAACUUGAUUGCACUUUUAUACCAUGGAGGGGUGCCAAAAAAAUACUUCAUUGAGUUACUUAUGAAAGCUUUAGAAGAGACUCGUGAUGUUUUUAGCAAUACAAGCGCAGCAUUCAGAGUUGCCCUUAGAAAUGGCGAGAUCGAUGACAAUAGUACUGUUGCAAAAAUGAUCUCCUGUGGUAUUCCUCUUGAAGAACCAUAUGUGCAAUAUCGUCUUUCAACCCUUAUGAACAUGGACAAGAUCAAUCUUAAAAAAGGGAAAACUUGACGGGGACAGGUGAUCCAAUAGGAAAACUUGAAAAAGAUGAAGUUUGCAUUAUCCUGCAUAGGCAGUGGGCUGAUGCUAAAAAAGAAUUGUAAGAAGAGAAAAUAAUGCCCUCACUUGUACUUGACCGCGAUCAGACCAUAAAAAAUGCCAUCAAACAGGUUGAAGAAAUGAGAAAAGAUUUGUCUAAUGCACUUCAUGCUACUGAAACUGUUGAGAGUAGAACUGCUGUAGCUGAGGUUGUUGAAAUUGACGGUGGGAGUGGAUCUGCUUCUUUGACAGAUCUGUUGAAACAUGACAAGGUUCUGAGCAAGAAGCCCCCUGCUCCUCACCGAGUUGUGCCUGAUUAUCUGUUGAAUGCAACAACUAAAGAAGCCAGCAAGAGAGUUAAGCUUGCCAACCUUGGUCGCCGUGGAUUCAAGAAAAAAUUCAAGGAAGAUAAGGACCCCCUUAAGUCUUUCAGUGCUCAGGUUUACUUUAGCUUCCUUUUUGCACUUAUUUCUUCAUGAUUAUACUUCAUUCAGUAGGCAGA